ACGAACGCUGGCGGCGUGCUUAACACAUGCAAGUCGAACGGAAAGGCCCUGCUUUUGUGGGGUGCUCGAGUGGCGAACGGGUGAGUAACACGUGAGUAACCUGCCCUUGACUUUGGGAUAACUUCAUGAAACUGGGGCUAAUACCGGAUAGGAGCUCCUGCUGCAUGGUGGGGGUUGGAAAGUUUCGGCGGUUGGGGAUGGACUCGCGGCUUAUCAGCUUGUUGGUGGGGUAGUGGCUUACCAAGGCUUUGACGGGUAGCCGGCCUGAGAGGGUGACCGGCAACAUUGGGACUGAGAUACGGCCCAGACUCCUACGGGAGGCAGCAGUGGGGAAUAUUGCACAAUGGGCGGAAGCCUGAUGCAGCAACGCCGCGUGCGGGAUGACGGCCUUCGGGUUGUAAACCGCUUUCGCCUGUGACGAAGCGUGAGUGACGGUAAUGGGUAAAGAAGCACCGGCUAACUACGUG
rnacentral:rRNA from 1 species